GUCACAGUCUACACAUUUAAAGAACAAAGGAAAUAUAAUACACUGGGUUACAGAGGACAAGGGCUUUCACUUUCCACUUAAGAUAUUUCUAUCCUGGGGCCGGGUGUAGUGGCUCAUGCCAGUAAU